CACAGAAAGGCGCUCAAGCACCCGUUUCAACGUGUUAUUGGUAUCCUCCCAGACAGGACCGCAUCUGACACGCACACCUGGGCUUUCUUCUCAGCGCACAUUUGAUUUACACUCUGCUCCUGAGCAUCAUCCAGAAACUAAGAAGUGCUAAAAUGAAUGGAUGCAGCGCCGGCGAGAAGCCCAGGAGACUUCACUCUGUGUGCCAGCGCUUACUGUCCUGCCUGCUGGCCUUGUGUGGUGGCCAGAUGAGCUGUAGAUGCAGAAGGAGUGCUGACCCAAGCCAGAGUAGGACUCAAGGUGAUGAUCAAGAGCUGCUUGGUACCUCAGUUGAAGAAACUGAUCCAGCACCAGUGCCAAGUUCCGUAAAGCCCUGGCUUUGAAUGUGCAAAAUGAAGCUAUUACUGCUGCUGCAUUUAAAAUACCUCCU
rnacentral:lncRNA from 1 species